AUGUCUGUGGACACAUGAGGACUUUGAAUAUUGUGACGACCGGGUGCAGGUGUGCGUUCCCCCAGGGAUGCAGAUCGGGCUUCGGACACAGCUUGCAGUUCUUUUUGACAGACAUUUAAAAAAAAUCUCACGUACCCCUUGGCAUACCUUCAAGUACCCCCAGGGGUACGCGUACCCCCAUUUGAGAACCACUGCUCUAGUGGUACACGUACUACAGUUUGAGAAUCACUGGUCUACAACAAUCUCCCCCACAAAGAUUGCCCCAUUCCACGGGAAAAGUGGUCUCUAAGGAGAUGUUUUGCCACCAGACCGGCGGACGACUUAAUGCUCUGCUAGAAGCGCGCCUGGACACGCCCGUGCUCGCUCUUCCCUCAUCGCGGCCACACGCCUGCACGGCUGCAGGCAAUCAACAAUCAGCGCACCUGGAUCUGAUGAGGGCAGACGGCAUAAAGACCAGCAGACCCGAAGAUCCAGUGCCGGAACAUAGUUCACUCCUUGUAUGUUCCCCCCGUAUCCUGUGAUCGAGUUGUGUGCCUUGACUUCCCUCCGGACUUUGGACUGCUUCCCUCGAUCCUCGACCCCCGCUCGUACACGGACCUCGACGCCUCUCUCCAGCCCCCGACUUCUCGCCUGCCCACGGACUGUCUUCUUGCCUUGCCCCUCUGGACUUUUGAAGGAUUCAUCCAACACGCACGAACAACACCCUCUGGUAACAUUCACAUUGUUACACUUGUAGUAGCAUACACACCCCAGUACAUCAUCAGUUUCAAUAAACCUA